rnacentral:rRNA from 1 species
UACGUAGGGACCAAGCGUUGUUCGGAUUUACUGGGCGUAAAGGGCGCGUAGGCGGCGCGGUAAGCCACUUGUGAAAUCUCUGAGCUUAACUCAGAACGGCCAAGUGAUACUGCAGUGCUAGAGUGUGGAAGGGGCAAUCGGAAUUCUUGGUGUAGCGGUGAAAUGCGUAGAUAUCAAGAGGAACACCUGAGGUGAAGACGGGUUGCUGGGCCAACACUGACGCUGAUGCGCGAAAGCCAGGGGAGCAAACGGG